rnacentral:rRNA from 1 species
UACGUAGGGGGCUAGCGUUGUCCGGAAUCACUGGGCGUAAAGGGCGCGUAGGCGGCUCAUGAAGGCUGUGGUGAAAGUCCGGGGCUCAACCUCGGAUCGGCCGUGGCGACUCGUGGGCUGGAGCACUGUAGAGGCGGGUGGAAUUCCGGGUGUAGCGGUGGAAUGCGUAGAGAUCCGGAAGAACACCGGUGGCGAAGGCGGCCCGCUGGGCAGUGACUGACGCUGAGGCGCGACAGCGUGGGGAGCAAACAGG